UACGUAGGGGGCAAGCGUUGUCCGGAAUCAUUGGGCGUAAAGAGCGUGUAGGCGGCCCGAUAAGUCCGCCGUGAAAGUCCAGGGCUCAACCCUGGAAUGCCGGUGGAAACUGUCGGGCUGGAGUCCGGAAGAGGCGAGUGGAAUUCCUGGUGUAGCGGUGAAAUGCGCAGAUAUCAGGAGGAACACCAAUGGCGAAGGCAGCUCGCUGGGACGGUACUGACGCUGGAGACGCGAAAGCAUGGGGAGCGAACAGG
rnacentral:rRNA from 1 species